GCCCAGACUCCUACGGGAGGCAGCAGUGGGGGAUAUUGCACAAUGGGGGAAACCCUGAUGCAGCGACGCCGCGUGUAGGAAGACGGUCCUCUGGAUUGUAAACUACUGUCCCCAGGGACGAAGAUGACGGUACCUGGCGAAGAAGCCCCGGCUAACUACGUGCCAGCAGCCGCGGUAAUACGUAGGGGGCAAGCGUUAUCCGGAUUCACUGGGUGUAAAGGGAGCGCAGGCGGUACGGCGAGUCUGAUGUGAAAACCCGGGGCCCAACCCCGGGACCGCACCGGAUACUGCCGGACUCGAGUGCCGGAGGGGCAGGCGGAAUUCCUGGUGUAGCGGUGAAAUGCGCAGAUAUCAGGAGGAACACCGGUGGCGAAGGCGGCCUGCUGGACGGUAACUGACGCUGAGGCUCGAAAGCGUGGGGAGCGAACAGGAUUAGAUACCCUAGUA
rnacentral:rRNA from 1 species